GUCCAGCAGCCAGGGGGCCUGCAGGGGAGGAACAGGGAGGAUGUGGGAUGUCCUUGUGACGGCUGAGGCACUGGGCGCACAAGGAGCCCAAGGCAGGGAGGGCUGAUGGCACCGCAGCACUUGCACGGCGCGAGCAGCUGGCCAGGUGCUGGUGGUAGAAAGCUACAGCUCACCUUGAGAAGAGCUUUCCUGAACUUCUCUUUCCCUGACAGCUUGUCAAGGAAGUCGUAAUAGAAUUUCAUGUGGAAGGUCAUUCCAUCGAUGUGGAGUACUCCAAUGUCCUUGAAGACAACGGCAACGUUCUCCCCAUUCUUCAGGCAGCCAGAGAGCAGGGACACGGUGCUUUGGAUGCAAGCCUGCGCUGUCUGCCAGGUCACAGAGGCAGCUGCGGCCACCUCGCUGCUCUUGAGCGGCUCCAGCUUCCUAUGGGCUGAAAAAUGGGAGGGACGGAGUUGAUGAUACGGUUGGUUUUCCGCAGUGCUUCCCUGGAACUGCUUCUUGUGGCCAUCAGCCAGAACGGCCCCAUGUUUGGCUGGGCUCCUCCGAGGGGGAGGUUUGCUUUGGAGAAUGGAGGCGGUGGCCCUGUUGGCCCUGUGCGUGAAGCCAGCAAAGCUUUAAUCCUCCCUCCUACCUGGCAGGGACUCCCUGCGGGGCUUGAGGUGGUGCACGGCUAUGAGGUUUCCAGACAAGUGAAAGACGG
ensembl:lncRNA